CACCUCGGGCGGCCGGGAGGGCAGUUGGUGGCGGCGUGGCCUCUUUGUCCCCGUCAGCCCGAGGCGGCGCUGGUGCCCACCCGGCCUCCCCGUGGCCCAGCCCCGCGCCUCCGCCCCGGGCAGCGCGCCUUCCCCUCUUCCAGAGGGGCCUCUUUAAUGGCUCCCCAUGAAAUAAUCAUUCAUUAUGUCACCAGGAGGGAAGAAAGGGAGAUUUUGUGAAGCUGUCCCAUUCAAAGCCACCCCCAGAGGCCCGGAGGAGACCACAAAGCUGCGAACACAGCCGGGACCUGCCCACUGACACACUGAAGAGUCAACACGAUUCAGGAAAGCACUUUCAAAGAGUGUUUUUUCUUGGACAGAUAACAUUCUGUUUUGUUUCUGAGAGGCAAUGACAAUCUCUAGUUCGACUGUAAAACUAUUUCCUUCAAAUAUACAUUUUU
rnacentral:lncRNA from 1 species